AAUGAACGUUGGCGGCGUGGAUUAGGCAUGCAAGUCGUACGCUCCAUGUAGCAAUACAUGGAGAGUGGCGUAAGGGAGAGUAAUGCAUGGUUAGCUACCCUCGGGACUGGGAUAGCGGCGGGAAACUGCCGGUAAUACCAGAUGAUGUCUUCGGACCAAACGUGUAAACCGGCCUGAGGAGGUGACCAUGUCCUAUCAGCUAGUUGGCGGUGUAACGGACCACCAAGGCAAAGACGGGUAUGGGGCGUGAGAGCGUGCCCCCACUCACUGGGACUGAGACACUGCCCAGACACCUACGGGUGGCUGCAGUCGAGAAUCUUCGGCAAUGGGCGCAAGCCUGACCGAGCGACGCCGCGUGCGGGAUGAAGGCCUUCGGGUUGUAAACCGCUGUCGUAGGGGAGGAAGGUCUGGUGUAUAGCCAGACUUGACCGAUCCUAGGAGGAAGGGCCGGCUAAUCUCGUGCCAGCCGCCGCAGUAAAAC
rnacentral:rRNA from 1 species